rnacentral:rRNA from 1 species
CGCUGGCGGCAGGCCUAACACAUGCAAGUCGAGCGCGCCUUCGGGUGAGCGGCGGACGGGUUAGUAACGCGUGGGAACGUGCCCUUCUCUACGGAAUAGCCUCUGGAAACGGAGAGUAAUACCGUAUACGCCCUUUGGGGGAAAGAUUUAUCGGAGAAGGAUCGGCCCGCGUUAGAUUAGGUAGUUGGUGGGGUAACGGCCUACCAAGCCUACGAUCUAUAGCUGGUUUUAGAGGAUGAUCAGCAACACUGGGACUGAGACACGGCCCAGACUCCUACGGGAGGCAGCAGUGGGGAAUCUUAGACAAUGGGGGCAACCCUGAUCUAGCCAUGCCGCGUGAGUGAUGAAGGCCUUAAGGUCGUAAAGCUCUUUCCCUGUGAUGAUAAUGACAGUGCAGGUAAAGAAACCCCGGCUAACUCCGUGCCAGCAGCCCCGGUAAUACGGAGGGGGGUUAGCGUUAANCCGAAUUC